UGUGUGCAACAACUGGCAGCCCCCCUUCUCUCUCUCUCCUCUCUCUCUCUCUCUCUCUCUCUCUCUCCUCCUCUCCUCCUCUCGGCUGCGUGGCGGAGAGUCCGCCGCUUAUCUUUCAGCACCUGCGCUUCGGGGGAGGCUGGAGUGGGACCGUGUGUGCGUGUGAGGGUUUGAGCAGUAGCCAAGAAAGCAAGAAGGGAGCUGAAGGCUGAAAGCUUCUCUCCAGCAGCAUCACCAGCAUCACCAGCAUCACCAGCGUCAGCAGCAUCAGCAGCAAAGACGAAGGCAGUGGCUCGCUUUCUCGCUCACUCAACAGCACAAUAACCUCGAUCGCCCAGCCAGGAGCCGAGGAGAAGAACCAGGCGGACGACUCCCAGCUCUACGCACCCCCACCUUCUUGCUGGGAGGCUGCUCCACAAAGACGGACAGAGAGAUGGAGAGAGAGAAAAAAAGGGCGAGAGACCUCCAGGCUCCCUUUGACUUUGGGUCAGCCAAACUGGAUCUCCACUGGCCUUCGGGAUAUACACCAGAGAUCUGGACCAGCAGGACGAGUGUGCAGCCACAGACCGUCACUGAGAUGCUUCCUUUGGCGGGGCGUGUCCUGCCUCGUGAGAAAGGCCGUCUUCAGUCCAGGCCCCUAGAGAGAAAGGCUGUGGUUUGGCCUGUGUGCCACAGUGGAUGUCUGAGAGUCAGGCGCUCCCUCUGUCUCUCUCUCUCUCUCUCUCUCUCUUUUUCUGAGGCUCUCUUCGGUGACGGGUAUUCUUGGGUGGAUAAUACGGAUCACGUUGUUAUUGCUUAAGAAUACGCGUAGUUGAGGAGAGUCAUUUUCAACUGUGCCUUCGGGGAGUGACCCUCGCUGACCGCUCGGCUACCGGCUGCCUCCAUCAUACCGCUAGAAACUGAAAGGAGAAAAAAGAAAGAAAGAAAAAAGACUGAACAUUUCUAUUGAGGUUCAUUUAUCAGUCCACCAGAUAAUCAUUUCCCCUGCGCAUCCAUUGAUUUCUCUACUGCAGGCCUGUGUGUUGUUAUUACUCGAGUGUUACGGUGAGUCCUGUCCUGUCGGGGGGGGCCGGCGUUUCCUGCUUGUCGAGGCUUCAUCUGUUAUCUGUGCAUUUUUUUUAAUUUUAUUUCUCCCACCAUCUUGCUAUCAUCCAUCGUGCCAAAGCGAUGUUUUAUGUAGCGCCAUUCAGCGACUCGUAUUCUGCAUUUCACACAAUUUGCUUGGUU